rnacentral:rRNA from 1 species
CCUACGGGAGGCUGCAGUCGGGAAUCUUUCGCAAUGGAGGAAACUCUGACGCAGUGACGCCGCGUGCAGGAAGAAGGUUUUCGGAUUGUAAACUGCUUUUGACAGGGACGAAAAACAACAGUACCUGUCGAAUAAGCUCCGGCUAACUACGUGCAAGCAGCCGCGGUAAUACGUAGGGAGCAAGCGUUAGUAGGUAUUAUUGGGUGGAAGGGGUGCGUAGGCGGAUAAGCAAGUUAGUUGUGAAAUCCAUCGGCUUAACACAAGAACUGCAACUGAAACUACGUCCCUUGAGUACUGGAGAGGAAAGUGGAAUUCCUAGUGUAGCGGUGAAAUGCGUAGAUAUAAGGAGGAACACCAGUGGCGAAGGCGACUUUCUGGACAGUAACUGACGUUGAGGCACGAAAGUGUGGGGAGCAAACAGGAUUAGAUACCCGUGUAGUC